GCUUGGCCUCUGGCAGGAGGGGAAUGCAAAUGACUCUCCGCCCGCACUCUUUGAAAUGAAGUGGGGCUAUGAAGCAGAUGCUGACUGCCUACAAAGAAGGCCAGAACAAAUUGCUGACUUCCUCUGCACUAUUAUGCAUUUUGGUACUCAGCUUCUCGGAGAAACAGUUCUGCACGUUGUUCCUUGUGAGAGGAAGAAAGAGAAAAGAAAAAACAAGUUGGAAAAUGGUUCGCUGUAAUUUUGUAAACGACGAUACCUCUUCACAUUUAUUGUGAAACUGUUGACAUGACUGUUGACAGGUGAGGGGAGAAGAUGGAGAGCGUCUGGCAGAGCUCCGGAAAUGUGCUCCGUGAGAACGAAGGAAAUGGGGAGAUGGAUAGGGCCAAAAUUCAUGUGAGGAAACAGAAAGUGGUACGAAAAUAAAGAACCAUCAAUUUGAUUUGCUCAGGAGAGAAGCAACAAUGAAACAGGGAAUCUGAGCUGCAGACAUUUGAAAUAAUCUCCUCCUUAGUUGAUAUGCCAAUCAGAACCAUUUAUGUGACUUUUCUGAUAAGUUCUGUUGAGCCAUCUUUCAGCUCUCUGUAUACCUUGUCUGUGCCCUUCCCUCUUUAUUAAUUUCCUAUCUGUCUUCAAUCCCUCUGUGAAGAUCAUUUUUGUCUGCCCUUCCAUUUUUCCUCAUUUAUCACUUGUGAACAAGUAGUAUAUUGGAUUUCUGGAAAUAAUUCACUUUCUUGAACUGAAUGGAGCUUUCCCCAUUUUAAAUACUUGUUAGCUUUUCAUUUUUAACAAAAAUUAUACUGCAGAUACACUGUUACAACAAUCAAGAGUAAAAUGAUGAAGAAACAACAAAACCCCCAGCCAUCUUUGAACAUGAACAAAAUUCCUUA